rnacentral:rRNA from 1 species
AAUGAACGUUGGCGGCAUGGAUUAGGCAUGCAAGUCGAGCGAGAAGAGUUUUGAAGCUUGCUUUAGAACUCGGACAGCGGCGAAAGGGAGAGUAACGCGUAGUUAUGUGCCCUAGGGUCCGGAAUAGCCACGGGAAACUGUGGGUAAUGCCGGAUAAUAUCCCCGGAUCAAAGGUGUGAUUCCGCCCUAGGAGCAGACUGCGUCCUACUAGCUAGUUGGUGGGGUAAUGGCCCACCAAGGCAAUGAUGGGUAGCGGGUGUGAGAGCAUGACCCGUCUCACUGGGACUGAGACACUGCCCAGGCACCGACGGGUGGCGGCAGUCGAGAAUCUUCGGCAAUGGGCGAAAGCCUGACCGAGCGAUGCCGCGUGCGGGAUGAAGGCCCUCGGGUUGUAAACCGCUGUCGUAGGGGAGGAAGGUUCCGUGAAGAGCGGGACUUGACCUAUCCUAGGAGGAAGUACGGGCUAAGUUCGUGCCAGCAGCCGCCGUAAAAC